rfam:Bacterium B13(2017) isolate B13 NODE_18_length_10761_cov_1984.72, whole genome shotgun sequence.
UCCAAUGAGGGAUCUGAAGGAAGCUGUAAUCAAAGUUGCUACCUAAAUUUGGUAUGAACCUCAGGUAGGCUUAGAAAGAGGGUAAGGUACCAUUGACUACCAAAGCCCAAUAUCCUUUCCGUAAACUUUCUGGGUAGAAGAGGUAGGUGAGCGACGAAAGAGUGAUUA